AAAAGAAAUGUCUAAUUUUCUUUUAAUUCAAAAGAGUGAUAUGAAUGUAUAGAAAGCAAUACCUGAGAAGAUUCAGGACUUGUAUAAAAAAUAAAACAGUACAGCCCAGCCGAUUGUAAAAUGAGAGGUAACCAGUUAACAGAGAUCCAACAAUACCACCAAUUUCUUGGCUGCUGAUGAAACUUGA